rnacentral:rRNA from 1 species
UACGUAGGGGGCGAGCGUUGUCCGGAUUCAUUGGGCGUAAAGCGCUUUAAGGCGGUUCGCUAAGUCGCGUGUGAAACCUCCAGGCUCAACCUGGAGACGCCACGCGAUACUGGCGUGACUAGAGUUCGGUAGGGGAUCACGGAAUUCCUGGUGUAGCGGUGAAAUGCGCAGAUAUCAGGAGGAACACCGAUGGCGAAGGCAGGUCUCUGGGCCACUACUGACGCUGAGAAGCGAAAGCAUGGGGAGCGAACAGG